ensembl:lncRNA
GCUAAACUACAAUAUUCUAGACUAGCACAACAAACUCCAGGCCAAACUACAAUAUUCUAGACUAGCACAACAAACUCCAGGCUAAACUACAAUAUUCUAGACUAGCACAACAAACUCCAGGCCAAACUACAAUAUUCUAGCCUAGCACAACAAACUCCAGGCCAAACUACAAUAUUCUAGCCUAGCACAACACACUCCAGGCUAAUUUACAACAUUCCAGGCUAGCAGAACACACUCCAGACUAAUUUACAACAUUCCAGGCUAGCACAACACACUCCAGGCUAAACUACAACAUUCCAGGCUAGCACAACACACUCCAGGCUAAUUUAAAAAACAUUCCAGGCUAGCAGAACACACUCCAGGCUAAUUUACAACAUUCCAGGCUAGCACAACACAUUCCAGGCUAGCAGAACACACUCCAGGCUAAACUACAACAUUCCAGGCUAGCACAACACACUCCAGGCUAAACUACAACAUUCCAGGCUAGCAGAACACACUCCAGGCUAAUUUAAAAAACAUUCCAGGCUAGCAGAACACACUCCAGGCUAAUUUACAACAUUCCAGGCUAGCACAACACACUCCAGGCUAAACUACAACAUUCCAGGCUAGCACAACGCACUCCAGGCUAAACUACAACAUUCCAGGCUAGCACAACACACUCCACGCUAAACUACA